rnacentral:scRNA from 1 species
AAGGGUAACGAACCGUUCACAGGUGUUACCCUUAACUUUAAGUAUAGGUGGGUGUCGA